rnacentral:rRNA from 1 species
GAUGAACGCUGGCGGCGUGCCUAAUACAUGCAAGUCGAGCGAACAGACGAGGAGCUUGCUCCUCUGACGUUAGCGGCGGACGGGUGAGUAACACGUGGAUAACCUACCUAUAAGACUGGGAUAACUUUGGGAAACCGGAGCUAAUACCGGAUAAUAUAUUGAACCGCAUGGUUCAAUAGUGAAAGACGGUUUUGCUGUCACUUAUAGAUGGAUCCGCGCCGCAUUAGCUAGUUGGUAAGGUAACGGCUUACCAAGGCAACGAUGCGUAGCCGACCUGAGAGGGUGAUCGGCCACACUGGAACUGAGACACGGUCCAGACUCCUUCGGGAGGCAGCAGUAGGGAAUCUUCCGCAAUGGGCGAAAGCUUGACGGAGCAACGCCGCGUGAGUGAUGAAGGUCUUCGGAUCGUAAAACUCUGUUAUUAGGGAAGAACAAAUGUGUAAGUAACUAUGCACGUCUUGACGGUACCUAAUCAGAAAGCCACGGCUAACUACGUG